CAGGGCGUGUUGUCACUCGUGCCGUGAGGUGUUAGGUUAAGUCCUGCAACGAGCGCAACCCCUGUCACUAGUUGCCAUCAUUAAGUUGGGGACUCUAGUGAGACUGCCUACGCAAGUAGAGAGGAAGGUGGGGAUGACGUCAAAUCAUCACGGCCCUUACGCCUUGGGCCACACACGUAAUACAAUGGCCGGUACAGAGGGCAGCUACACAGCGAUGUGAUGCAAAUCUCGAAAGCCGGUCUCAGUUCGGAUUGGAGUCUGCAACUCGACUCUAUGAAGCUGGAAUCGCUAGUAAUCGCGCAUCAGCCAUGGCGCGGUGAAUACGUUCCCGGGCCUUGUACACACCGCCCGUCAAGCCAUGGAAGUCUGGGGUACCUGAAGUCGGUGACCGUAACAGGAGCUCCUUUGUGAGCAC
rnacentral:rRNA from 1 species